AACCUUUAUGUUAGACCUCAAAUCAGGUAGGACUACCCGCUGAACUUAAGCAUAUCAAUAAGCGGAGGAAAAGAAACUAACAAGGAUUCCCCUAGUAGCGGCGAGCGAACCGGGAAGAGCUCAAAUUUAAAAUCUGGCGUCCUUCGGGCGUCCGAGUUGUAAUCUACAGAAGUGUUUUCCGUGCCGGACCGUGUCCAAGUCCCUUGGAAUAGGGUAUCAAAGAGGGUGACAAUCCCGUACUUGACACGACAACCGGUGCUCU
rnacentral:rRNA from 1 species